GAGGGUAUAGCUCAGUGGUAGAGCACAUGCAUAGUAUGCACGCGGUCCUGGGUUCAAUACCCAGUACCUCUG
rnacentral:tRNA from 1 species